GAAAUAUAUACAUUUAAAUGUUUACAUUAAGCUGCUAACUUAAUUUAUAGUGAAUCAACUCAUUAAUAUUUCU
rnacentral:tRNA from 1 species